rnacentral:rRNA from 1 species
UACAGAGGUCUCAAGCGUUGUUCGGAUUCAUUGGGCGUAAAGGGUGUGUAGGUGGCGCGCUAAGUCGGGUGUGAAAUUUCGGAGCUUAACUCCGAAACUGCAUUCGAUACUGGCGUGCUUGAGGACUGGAGAGGAGACUGGAAUUCAUGGUGUAGCAGUGAAAUGCGUAGAGAUCAUGAGGAAGACCAGUGGCGAAGGCGGGUCUCUGGACAGUUCCUGACACUGAGACGCGAAAGCCAGGGGAGCGAACGGG